GACCGGCGCACGGGUGAGUAACGCGUAUCCAACCUGCCCAUCACUUGGGGAUAACCUUGCGAAAGUAAGACUAAUACCCAAUGACGUCUCUAGAAGACAUCUGAAAGGGAUUAAAGAUUUAUCGGUGAUGGAUGGGGAUGCGUCUGAUUAGCUUGUUGGCGGGGUAACGGCCCACCAAGGCGACGAUCAGUAGGGGUUCUGAGAGGAAGGUCCCCCACAUUGGAACUGAGACACGGUCCAAACUCCUACGGGAGGCAGCAGUGAGGGAUAUUGGUCAAUGGACGAGAGUCUGAACCAGCCAAGUAGCGUGCAGGAUGACGGCCCUAUGGGUUGUAAACUGCUUUUAUAAGGGAAUAAAGUGAGUCUCGUGAGACUUUUUGCAUGUACCUUAUGAAUAAGGACCGGCUAAUUCCGUGCCAGCAGCCGCGGUAAUACGGAAGGUCCGGGCGUUAUCCGGAUUUAUUGGGUUUAAAGGGAGCGUAGGCCGGAGAUUAAGCGUGUUGUGAAAUGUAGACGCUCAACGUCUGCACUGCAGCGCGAACUGGUUUCCUUGAGUACGCACAAAGUGGGCGGAAUUCGUGGUGUAGCGGUGAAAUGCUUAGAUAUCACGAAGAACUCCGAUUGCGAAGGCAGCUCACUGGAGCGCAACUGACGCUGAAGCUCGAAAGUGCGGGUAUCGAACAGGAUUAGAUACCCUGGUAGUCCGCACGGUAAACGAUGGAUGCCCGCUGUUGGUCUGAACAGGUCAGCGGCCAAGCGAAAGCAUUAAGCAUCCCACCUGGGGAGUA
rnacentral:rRNA from 1 species